UACAGAGGUCUCAAGCGUUGUUCGGAUUCAUUGGGCGUAAAGGGCGCGUAGGCGGCGGGGUAAGUCGGGUGUGAAAUCUCAGGGCUCAACCCUGAAACUGCACUCGAUACUGCUCUGCUUGAGGACUGGAGAGGAGACUGGAAUUCACGGUGUAGCAGUGAAAUGCGUAGAUAUCGUGAGGAACACCGGUGGCGAAGGCGGGUCUCUGGACCGAUACUGACGCUGAGGAGCGAAAGCGUGGGGAGCGAACAGG
rnacentral:rRNA from 1 species